GCAAAAAGCAUUGCCCACUCCGCUCCACGCGCCCAAUCCCAUCUUCUCCCGUCUCGUUCCACACCAGCCGCCACACAACCCUAGCCCCUUUCCCAUCGAUCCCCACAGCCCCUCCCUCCUUCUCGCUCCUCGCCAUGGCCGAUUCCCACAGCCCCUCCCUCCUGCUCGCUCCUCGCCAUGGCCUCCGCCCUUGGAGCCUCGCCAUGGCCUCCUACUCCCCCUCCACCACCGUACGUGCACACAGACGGCGGUGCCGGAGAAGAGCAGCUCCAGUCAUGGUGGGGUGCAGCUGCGCCGGGGAUGAAGGAGGUCCGCCGCCUGUCUUUGUCUCCUUGCUGCGUCCUUUGUUGCCAAUCCUCCCCUCUCCAUUAGCCCCUAGCAGCGCAACAGUCUGGGACAAGGGGAAGGAGCAGGUCAACCCGACUCCAUCUCUCUGCACGAGGACUAGAGGAGCAGGUGGCGAGGGAAGCCGGCACGGCCAGCGGCGGCGCUGCACAGGGACGUCCGCCUCGGGUUUUCCGUCCUGUCUCCCGAUCCCCUUCCCUUUAAGUGUUUUUCUUUUUCCUCUUGGCCCGAUCUGCUCACAUGUUUGGGGUUUCGUGCUGUAGGGAUAAGAUCUGGUGCGGGAGGUGUGGUAUACUGCAUAGGUGUAUAAUCUUGGCUAUGAUCUAUUCUGGAGAAUGUCGAUGUUAAAGCAUUUGGUUUUGAUGGAUCAUAUUAUUGGUUCUCUGUUCAACUGAAGAUGUCUUCAGAUAGGACUAAGGUGAGUUGAGUUGUGGCUUGGUUGGAGAUGUUGAUGCUGUUUGAGACGCUCGCUGGAUUCACCCUUUUCAAGGUUAUGAACAUGGGCAAGCUCGACAAGGUCCAGGGGUAUAUGGACCACAAAUGAUGUGAUAUACUUCGUUAUUUCAACAUGAGUACGGCUCAGCAGGAAGGUCAACCGUGAGGAGGCGCAACAUAGCGUGGCCUCAGCCAAUUAGGUGUCCUCUCUCUUUGCCCAUUGCUUCUACAAAACUCUGAUUUUGUUUGUCUUAUGAAGGCACAUUCAUCCUGCAAGUACAAUCAUGAUUAAGAGUUAGAACGCCCCUACACAUCGGUUUACUUUCUUACAUUGAUUGGUGUGUGUUAUGCCUUUUAUAAUACGCCUUCUCACAUAAUAGUUUGGUAAAGAAAGAGUGAACUCACUCUUGAAUUUUGCACUAAUUAUAUACUUAUUUCACUAUUAAUAAUUUGUAUUUGCUAUAUCUUCUCUCAUGAGUUCGUCAAGUUCCUUUCUCAACAUGCUUAGAUGCUUUCAUGUCGGAAAUUUUAUGCAACAUCAGAAGUAAUGGUCGAUCGGUUUAGCCUUUGUGUUGGUUACAUAUGUAUAUAUGUCAUUGGCCUAGCUAACAUUGUGUGUCAGUAAUUUAUGCUUUCUUUCUUUGGAAUAAUUAUGCCUAGCUGGAAAUAGAGAGGAGUCAGGUACCUGCCUGUUACUGCUCUUUUUGCGGUCUAAACUGUUCCUUAAACUAAACAAGUAACCUGACAGUAUUUUGUGUUUAACUAAUAUCAUUCUUAUCAUAGUGAGUACUAUAUUAUUCAGUUAACAUCUGCAGGUGCGCCCUCUCCCUGCGCGCCGCGUGCAUGUCGCGCCAUUUGCGGGAGUGUGGGGCAAGCCAUGUCCUUGAAAUCCCAAUCCCCUCGCCCGCACGCCGCACGCCACACCCCUCCCUCGCUCCCUCCUCGAACUCUCUUCCUCGCCAGUCUCCAUGAAACCACCAACCCCAUCCUCUCCCUCUCCCUUGCGUAUGACCAUGACGGCGCUGGGUCGGCCAGAGGAAGAAGGCCAUGGUGAUUCUGUUGUCUGCGUGCGGAAGCAGCAGCGGUUCAUGGAGUGGAGUGAGUCCACCUCCCGUCAUUCUAGCCACAGCCUCCGCGCCACCUCCGCUUCCUCCUCCUAUUCGUAGGAGCUUCAGUGAGGUUUCUCACCAAUGAGCUGGAAGGUUUUUUAUCCUGGGUACCUGCAGCUCACUUUGUUAAUUACCACAACACCAUUUCAUAUUUAAAUUUAAUACUCCCUCCCUUCUUCAAAAGAAGGCAUGCCAGUUUUGGUCAAAGUCAAACAAUGUAAAGUUUGACCAAGUUAAUCCAACAAACUUGUGUGUCUUCUUUCCUAGCAUGGAGGGAGUACUUAGUUUGAUUACUGCAUCUACAGUUUUUUUUUGCUUCUACUUCUACUUCUACUGUAUUUCUGCACUUAAAUUUAAAUUAUUUAUGCACCUACUUUAUUUCUACUUCUAGCCCACCCUGUGUUCUAAUGAAUUCAUCUACGAGGGUGUUGUUCCUUUUUCAUCCGUUGAAGGUUUUCUCACUUCUACAUAGGUGCUCCAUUAUUUCUUUUCCUAUUUAGAUUUUCUGUUUUGUGAAAUGGCAAAUGCUAAAUUCCGCAAUGGCACUUUCUUUAAGCAUUGUGUUCGAUUUUUUGUCGGGUUUUCUAAACAUGAAGUGUACAGAUCUGAGGAUGAAGAGAAGAAGAAUUUAUCUAAAAGGGUGAACAAGAUCAAGGGGGUGAGAGGCGGAUAACAAUACGAGAAGGAGCAUGCCAUCGAGGAAUGCAAGCAGCGGCACUCCUCCGCAAUGGGGUAUGGCUACAGGGGAGGGGACACGGCCAACUGACAGGAAGAAGGAGCAGGUCGUCGAUGUAGCAUAUGGGCCUUUCAGAUGCAUGUGCCUCCAUAUGCGCCAGAAGUUAUUCUUUUCAUGCACAUGCAAAAUAAAAUUUUAAUAGAAACACUGCUAAAAGACCCUCCUUAGCAGGUUUAUAGAUGUCGUAAAAAUAUAUUCUUUUUCAUACAUUAAACUCGAAAUUCUUAGCGUGUGCAUUUCCCAUACAAAUGAGUACUAGAAAAAAUAAAUGUGUUUACAACACGGGAUGGUUUAAACUUGGGCUUUCUGCUA